rnacentral:rRNA from 1 species
UACGGAAGGGGGCUAGCGUUGCUCGGAAUUACUGGGCGUAAAGCGCACGUAGGCGGUCUUUUAAGUCGGGGGUGAAAUCCUGGAGCUCAACUCCAGAACUGCCUCGAUACUGGAAGACUCGAGUCCGGGAGAGGUGAGUGGAACUGCGAGUGUAGAGGUGAAAUUCGUAGAUAUCGCAAGAACACCAGGUGGCGAAGGCGGCUCACUGGCCCGGUACUGACGCUGAGGUGCGAAAAGCGGUGGGGAGCAAACAGGG